GGGCUGCAGCCUUCUCCCGCCGCCUGGGGGGGCUGCGGGUGAGGGCUCUUUGGGGGCGUGUAUAGGUUUCGAGGGUCACCUGAGGGGUUUGGAAGGUUUCUUUGGCGGGGCGGUUACAAGAUUUGGGGGUUCCCUUUGCAUUGCAAAAUGUUCUGGGGCUUGGGGAAGUUUUAACGUGGGUUCAAGGGAUACUUUUGGGGUUCCUUUGCGCCUAAGGGGCACCUUGGAGUUUGGGUUCGUUUGUAAUGCGGAAGGUUCGGUUGUGUUCUCGGGAUCAGGUUCCCUUUGUGUUUUGGAGUGUUUGUUGGGCAUAGGAUUUGGGGAGCUCCGGGAGAGACGGAAGGAAAGAGCCCGAGAGUACCAGUUCUAGAGCUGGAAUGUCUGGGCUUGCAUCUUGACUUCCUACCUGUCUGAACCCGGACAGGAGAUUUCAUCUGUGUCUCAUCGGGAACUAGGCAUUGAUAACACUACCUGCUUCCUAGGGACCGAGGAGGAUUAGCAGGAAUUGUUAGCGCAGUACCUAACAAGCUCGCAGCGAGUGUGCAGUAAGCACAUGUCUGCUAUUGUAACAUUUGUGAGGUGUCUUUGGGUUGGUUUUUUUUUUUUUUUUUUUGGCUUUGUGAAACAUUUUUAAGGUUUAAGAUUCAUCUUAAAGUGUUAGGGAGCUUUUGUGUUUUCAAAGAGUUCGUCUGCUGUUGGAGGGCUUCUAGUGGAAUUAGAAGAUAAUGGAGGAGGGUUGGGGGGAGUAUAGGAUUCCGGGAGAGUGGUUGUUUAUGACAUAGGUUGGGGAAUUGCUGUGUUGGGAUCUGUGAGAGAUUGAUUGAGAUUCGGCCCUUCAGUACUGGCGAGGAUAUUUUUAGGUUCGGUGGUUUAAAGUAGUAUUUGGAAGGUUUUCGAUAUUUGGGGGAGGACAUUGAGAUGCUGGAGGUAAGGUUGGAACUGAUUAGGGGACUUGAGUGGGUGGCCAAGUUGUAGCAGGAUGGCAUCUGUAGAGACUGGGUUUUGCUGUGUUAGCCUGCCUCUCUGGGCAGUUGGAUAUACAGGUCAAGUACCGCUUACCUGAAAAGCUUGGGACCAAAAGUGUUUCGGAUUUUGGAUUUCUUCGGAUUUCGAGUAUUUGCAUUAUACUUACCAGUUGAUAUGCCAAGUCUGAAAAUCUGAAAUGCUCCAAUGAGCAUAUCCUAUCAGUGUCAUCUUGGCACUCAAAAAGUUCUGAAUUUGGGAGCAUUUUGGAUUUUCAGAUUUGAGAUACUCAACAUGUAUGUGAAUUGGUGGUUGGUAAACAGCCAUCUAUAUGUUUUGGAGGCUAUGGAGUGAUGUUUUUAACACUGAACUGAGAUUACAGCAGGGACUGUAAGUAUUUGAGGGGUAGGUGGGAUUGGGGAUUAUGGAGGGGAGAUAAAGAUUCUUGACACGGGGUUUCUCUGUGUUUACUGGUACCUGUGAGUGCUCGGAGGCUGUCUGGAUUUUGCUUUGUUUUGUUUACCUUUUUUUUUUUUUUUUUGAGACGGAAUUUCGCUCUUGUCACUCAGGCUGGAGUGCAAUGGCAAGAUCUCAGCUCACCACAACGUCCGCCUCCCGGUUCAAGCUAUUCUCCUGCUUCAGCCUCCUGAGUAGCUGGGACUACAGGCUCACACCACCGCUCCUGGCUAAUUUUUGUAUUUUUAGUAGAGAUGGGGUUUUGCCAUGUUAGUCAGGCUGAUCUCGAAUUCUGACCUCAGGUGAUCCGCCUGCCUGGGCCUCCCGAAGUACUGGGAUUACAGGUGUGAGCCACCGCGCCUGGCCUGGAAUUGCUUGAAUUUAGAGGGACAGUCUGUACUGCAGGAGUUGGCAAACUUUUUCCAUAAAGAGCCAGAUAAUGGGUAUUUUAAGCUUUGCAGGCCAUGUGGUCUUUGUUCUGCUGUUCAGCUCUGCUGUUGAAGAUGAAAGCAUCCAUAAACAAAUGAGCAUGUUUCAAUAAAACUUUAUUUACAAAGACAGCGAGCUGGAUUUGGCUUCUGGGCCAUAGUUUGCUGACCUCUCUGGCCUGUAGGCAUGUGGAAGUUUCAAGGUUUAAAGGGUCAUUUUGGUUUUGAGCUGUCUGGAGGGAGAUGAGCCAGAGAAAGAUUGAGGCAUAUGUUACUUAGUAGGUUCAAACUGCAAUGAAAGUGAUCAUAUCGGACUCAUGUGCAAGAUUGCCUCCAGAUUAGAUCACUCACAUCAAGUCAUUCCAAAA
ensembl:lncRNA